rnacentral:rRNA from 1 species
UCCGGUAGCGAUAGCUGUGAGGUUCCACCUGUUCCCAUCCCGAACACAGCAGUUAAGCUCACAUACGCCGAAAGUACUUGGCUGGAGACGGCCCGGGAGGAUAGGGAGUUGCCGGUU